ACAAACGCUGGCGGCGUGCCUAACACAUGCAAGUCGAGCGGGGUGACCGGGGCAACUCGGGCAUCCAGCGGCGCACGGGUGAGUAACACGUAGGUAACCUGCCCGAAGGUGGGGGACAACCCCGGGAAACCGGGGCUAAUACCGCAUAAGACCACGUACCGAGAGGUAUGCGGUAAAAGCGGCGACGCGCCUUCGGAUGGGCCUGCGGCCUAUCAGGUAGUUGGCGGGGUAACGGCCCACCAAGCCAGAGACGGGUAGCCGGUCUGAGAGGAUGGACGGCCACACUGGAACUGAGACACGGUCCAGACUCCUACGGGAGGCAGCAGUGGGGAAUCUUGCGCAAUGGGCGAAAGCCUGACGCAGCGACGCCGCGUGGAGGACGAAGGCCUUCGGGUUGUAAACUCCUUUUAGGGGGGAAGAUGAUGACGGUACCCCCUGAAUAAGCCACGGCUAACUCUGU
rnacentral:rRNA from 1 species